rnacentral:tRNA from 1 species
CGUUCCAGCAGUCUGGAAGCUUCCAGUUGUCCGGGAAGCGGCAGCUGAAGCAGGAUGCCGUCGAUGUUCGGGUCAUCGUUGAGGCGA